AUGGUGCAGUGUGAAAAACUCCGGUGGUAUGAGAUGGACCCGCGUUUGAUUAGCUGGUGGGUGGGGUAACGGCUCACCAAGGCGACGAUCAGUAGCCGACCUGAGAGGGUGAUCGGCCACAUUGGGACUGAGACACGGCCCAAACUCCUACGGGAGGCAGCAGUGGGGGAUAUUGCACAAUGGGGGAAACCCUGAUGCAGCAACGCCGCGAGAGUGAAGAAGUAUUUCGGUAUGUAAAGCUCUAUCAGCAGGGAAGAAAAUGACGGUACCUGACUAAGAAGCCCCGGCUAACUACGUGCCAGCAGCCGCGGUAAUACGUAGGGGGCAAGCGUUAUCCGGAUUUACUGGGUGUAAAGGGAGCGUAGACGGCGCUGCAAGUCUGAAGUGAAAGCCCGGGGCUCAACCCCGGGACUGCUUUGGAAACUGUAAUGCUAGAGUGCUGGAGAGGUAAGUGGAAUUCCUAGUGUAGCGGUGAAAUGCGUAGAUAUUAAGAGGAACACCAGUGGCGAAGGCGGCUUACUGGACAGUAACUGACGUUGAGGCUCGAAAGCGUGGGGAGCAAACAGGAUUAGAUACCCUGGUAGUCCACGCGGUAAACGAUGAAUGCUAGGUGUUGGGGAGCAAAGCUCUUCGGUGCCGUCGCAAACGCAAUAAGCAUUCCACCUGGGGAGUACGUUCGCAAGAAUGAAACUCAAAGGAAUUGACGGGGACCCGCACAAGCGGUGGAGCAUGUGGUUUAAUUUGAAGCAACGCGAAGAACCUUACCAAGUCUUGACAUCCUUCUGACCGGCGCGUAACGGCGCCUUCUCUUCGGAGCAGGAGUGACAGGUGGUGCAUGGUUGUCGUCAGCUCGUGUCGUGAGAUGUUGGGUUAAGUCCCGCAACGAGCGCAACCCUUAUCCUUAGUAGCCAGCAGUAAGAUGGGCACUCUAGGGAGACUGCCAGGGAUAACCUGGAGGAAGGUGGGGAUGACGUCAAAUCAUCAUGCCCCUUAUGAUUUGGGCUACACACGUGCUACAAUGGCGUAAACAAAGGGAAGCGAAGCCGCGAGGUGAAGCAAAUCCCAAAAAUAACGUCCCAGUUCGGAUUGUAGGCUGCAACUCGCCUGCAUGAAGCUGGAAUCGCUAGUAAUCGCGAAUCAGAAUGUCGCGGC
rnacentral:rRNA from 1 species